GGGGAUUUAGCUCAGUGGUAGAGCACUUGCCUAGCGAGGGCAAGGCCCUGGGUUCGGUCCCCAGCUCCG
rfam:Rattus norvegicus chromosome 20, whole genome shotgun sequence.